rnacentral:misc_RNA from 1 species
GAUGAAGAACGCAGCGAAAUGCGAUACUUGGUGUGAAUUGCAGAAUCCCGUGAACCAUCGAGUCUUUGAACGCAAGUUUCGCCCGAAGCCUCGGCUAAGGGCACGUCUGCCUGGGCGUCACGCAUCGCGUCUCCCCCAAACCGCCAAGGCGGAGGGGAAGGAAGAUGGCUUCCCGUGCCUCACCCGGGCGCGGUUGGCCUAAAUUUGGAGCCCGCGGCACUUAGCUCUCGCGGCGAUAGGUGGUGAACAAGGCCUUGGCCGUGCAAACAACCCGCUGCGAAGCUCUAUGUCACGUGCGCUCGUCGGACCCUUUGAAGUUGCCUUUGGUGACUUAAAACCUUUGCGACCCCAGGUCAGGCGGGGCUACCCGCUGAAUUUAAGCAUAUCAAUAAGCGGAGGA